UACGUAGGGUGCAAGCGUUGUCCGGAAUUAUUGGGCGUAAAGAGCUCGUAGGCGGUUCGUCGCGUCGGCUGUGAAAACCUGAGGCUCAACCUCAGGCCUGCAGUCGAUACGGGCAGACUGGAGUUCGGCAGGGGAGACUGGAAUUCCUGGUGUAGCGGUGAAAUGCGCAGAUAUCAGGAGGAGCACCGGUGGCGAAGGCGGGACUCUGGGCCGAUGACUGACGCUCAUGCACGAAAGCGUGGGGAGCAAACAGG
rnacentral:rRNA from 1 species